rnacentral:rRNA from 1 species
CAGUGGCGAACGGGUGAGUAACACGUGGGCAAUCUGCCCUGCACUCUGGGACAAGCCCUGGAAACGGGGUCUAAUACCGGAUAUGACCUUCCUCUGCAUGGGGGUUGGUGGAAAGCUCCGGCGGUGCAGGAUGAGCCCGCGGCCUAUCAGCUUGUUGGUGGGGUAAUGGCCUACCAAGGCGACGACGGGUAGCCGGCCUGAGAGGGCGACCGGCCACACUGGGACUGAGACACGGCCCAGACUCCUACGGGAGGCAGCAGUGGGGAAUAUUGCACAAUGGGCGAAAGCCUGAUGCAGCGACGCCGCGUGAGGGAUGACGGCCUUCGGGUUGUAAACCUCUUUCAGCAGGGAAGAAGCGCAAGUGACGGUACCUGCAGAAGAAGCACCGGCUAACUACGUGCCAGCAGCCGCGGUAAUACGUAGGGUGCGAGCGUUGUCCGGAAUUAUUGGGCGUAAAGAGCUCGUAGGCGGCCUGUCGCGUCGGAUGUGAAAGCCCGGGGCUUAACCCCGGGUCUGCAUUCGAUACGGGCAGGCUAGAGUGUGGUAGGGGAGAUCGGAAUUNCU